GGAUAACAGUUAGAAAUGACUGCUAAUACCGCAUAAGCGCACUAAACCGCAUGGUUCGGUGUGAAAAACUGAGGUGGUAUAGGAUGGACCCGCGUCUGAUUAGCUUGUUGGUGGGGUAACGGCUCACCAAGGCGACGAUCAGUAGCCGGCCUGAGAGGGCGACCGGCCACAUUGGGACUGAGACACGGCCCAAACUCCUACGGGAGGCAGCAGUGGGGAAUAUUGCACAAUGGGGGAAACCCUGAUGCAGCGACGCCGCGUGAGUGAAGAAGUAUUUCGGUAUGUAAAGCUCUAUCAGCAGGGAAGAAAAUGACGGUACCUGACUAAGAAGCCCCGGCUAACUACGUGCCAGCAGCCGCGGUAAUACGUAGGGGGCAAGCGUUAUCCGGAUUUACUGGGUGUAAAGGGAGCGUAGGUGGCAUGGUAAGCCAGAAGUGAAAACCCGGGGCUCAACCCCGCGGAUUGCUUUUGGAACUAUCAGGCUGGAGUGCUGGAGGGGUAAGCGGAAUUCCUAGUGUAGCGGUGAAAUGCGUAGAUAUUAGGAGGAACACCGGUGGCGAAGGCGGCUUACUGGACAGAGACUGACACUGAGGCUCGAAAGCGUGGGGAGCAAACAGGAUUAGAUACCCUGGUAGUCCACGCCGUAAACG
rnacentral:rRNA from 1 species